rnacentral:lncRNA from 1 species
UUUCUCCCCUGACUGCUAAGACUGCUCCAUCACUAAGCCCUCAUGUCCAGCCAGUUGGAAUGAGCUCCCCACCGCUGGAGGUAUUCAAGGAGCAAUGUGACACUUUCUUGUGCUUCAUGCUCUGGAUGGGAGGAGUGAGGUCCCAAGUGGUCAGCCUGGAUGCCAGGUGGCUCUGCAGAGGACGUACUCGAAGCAUUGCCUGCUGGGGAAGAUUCUGGGUGAGCCAGAAAUGCAGCGCUCUGUGCUCGUGGGGAAUGGGCCACUCAGCUUCCCUCCCUGUAUGAUGACAGACGCCCAAGCAGGGCAUGGGGAGCUGCCGCGCACACGAUCAGCAUGCCUGGGAAGAUGCUGUUGCCGAGCUGCGGCUCAGGUAGCUACGGAAUCUGUCUGCAGCGGAGAAGCUUUCCUAUUCAGGAGGGUAAAAAUCCUCCGGGGUGUUUCCUUCCCUCUGAGGCAGGCAUUUUCUCAGCCUGCCCCACUGUGCGGAAGUCAUGAAGAGAGUGGCAUCCCCCAAGCUGGGCCCUCUUUGCCCCCUACUUACAGCCUCAGGUAGGGGCUGUGGCUCCAGCUGCAAAUCCCUGACUUGGGAAGGAGGCAUAGGCAGAGCCAUUUCGAGGCUCCACCGGGCUUUCACCUCCUUCCUCUGGAAGCUUCUUCCAUCAUACGUAGCACAUAUCUCAUAUGAAAUGUGGAUUUUUUUCUUUCUGUAAACAAAUUGAAGAUGUUUAAUUUAAAUUUUGCUUUUGAAAUAAUUUGGUCACAAAUCACAUAUGUUAGCCUGGGUCAGUGUUUCUCAGGCACGCUCAGGAACUCCGCAAGGUGAUGAAAGCAAAUCUAGAAAUGAUUUUCAAACAAAAGGACAUGUUCU